GUGUAUGUGUGUGUGUGUGUGUGUGUGUGUGUGUGUGUGUGUGUGUGUGUGUGUGUUACAAUGUACAAUUGUUAUUUAUGAAUUAUCACUAUACAGUACCGCUAACUGGAAUAUGAGCCCCUAUAUUUCCCAUUCAUAUACUCAAGGCCACCAUUCACUGAAUAAAUCCAACAUUCAUUCAAUACAAAUUAAUGAGUACUCUGUGUUGCAGCAUUAUGCUAGGCCCUGGGUUAAUACAGAUGGAGGACUUAGUCCUAUCCCCAUGGAAUUUGCAGUCUAAUAGAAGAGACAGCUAUAUAAACAAAUCGUUGAAACAGUAUGUGAAUAGUGCUUUUAAGAGCAUAUAAUCCUAGCAGAGCACAGGGAGUGAACAGACCACUCAGGAGGAAACCAGGUGGGUUGGGGUUGUUGCCUGAUCUAUAGCUACAUAAACUAAGGGAAGUGCUAUUAUGAAUACGAAUAUUUAAAAGCUGAUAAAAGAAUGAUUUUUGUUGUUACUAC
rnacentral:lncRNA from 10 species